AUAAUUUCAACGGAACGUAACAGUGACUCUUUGAAUAAGAAAACAGGAAACCCUGGCAAAAGUCCACUGAAAAGAUUAGUAGAAAGAAGCAUAUAUUUGAAACUAAAAACAGAGAUGAAAAGGAAAGAAACAAAGUUAAAUACAUAUUCAUCCAUGAAAUGAAUCUCCAAUGAAUUAGGGGAUUUCAAAAAUCACAAAUAACAGAAACGAUAAACAAAACUUAGGGUUUCUCUACCUAAUGUACCGUAUUUGUGUGUGUGAAGAAAGAAAGGACAAGAAAGGAGGCCGGGAGAAAAAAAACAGGACAGAAGGAAAAUAUUUGAAAAGAAUGGAAAAAACAGUAGUUAAGAAAGGAGAAAGGAACGUUUAGGGUUUAGGUAGAUAAUAGAUCAAACCUUUUCUAACCCCAUAGCGGAGUGGAUUUUUUUGUGAUCAAAUAAAAAUCAAACGGCAAAACUGAGUUGAAACAACUGACUAACGAACAUUAGAAUUCAUCCAGUUUGAUAGUUUGGAGCGAAAAAGGCAGUCAGAGGACCAUAUGAGUGCACCAACACUCGGUACGACACGCACGCAUCUUAUAUGGGUAUGUUUGACUUUUUUUUUUUGGUAAGUUUUUCUCUAUAUUAACCCAACUCUUCAUUUUGCCUAAAUAACUAUCGUGUCUGAAUUCAUCUCCAACACAUGCUCAGACAUGGGCAUCGAGAUAUAGUCCUCCAAAAGUCCUCCAAAUACAUGCAAUCCUAGAAAAAACUGAAAAUACUCAGGUCAGAUGCCUAUGUCCAAUACUUACACCGAAGUCCGAGUAACAUAACCUUUCAUGUAUUUGGAGGGUCAUAUGCUAUACCCACGUCCGGGAAUGUGUUGAACAUGGAUACUUUA
rnacentral:lncRNA from 1 species